AAAAGAUUUUUAUAAUUUAUUUUUAAUUUUUGCCUUCUUUUUGCUUUCCUUUCGUCGACAAAAUAAACCAACAACAAAACUCGGUCAAAAUUCUCUGUCGGCGGCGAUCAUCAUUUAUUCAUUCUCCCUCCUUCUCUAUUUUCACUUGAGUUUAUUUUCAUUUGAAUUUCCUCGGUGUCUGAUCGGCGUUGAUUUGCGGCAGAGUGGUCGUUGUCGACGCGUAAUUACGAGUUUUAGUUGCAGCGCAGCCGCCUCGCUCGCAUCGCGAUACGAACAUUAGCCACAAUCUUUCUCCUCCUACUCGUCGGCGGAGAAGGCCAAUUAUGUAAACUUUUCGAGUGCGUUUUUAAUCGCGUUGAACUUCGGGGCAACCGCUGUCUGCCACCGCCUGAUCCCUCGCCGCUCUUUAAACUCUUAGUAGUUCCAGUGUGAAAGAGAAAGAGACCCUUUCAAUGCAUCUCCAGUAGUUCCAGUUUAAUUUUUAGUCCGUGUCGUGGCAGCGCGUCCCGUCCGAGAGCCGUUCGUCGCGAGCCCGUCCGUUCGUCGCGUUGAAAACGAAAGAAAAGCAAAG